rnacentral:rRNA from 1 species
CGGAGGGUGCAAGCGUUAUCCGGAUUCACUGGGUUUAAAGGGAGCGUAGGUGGACUUUUAAGUCAGUGGUGAAAUCUCUGGGCUUAACCCGGAAACUGCCAUUGAUACUAUUAGUCUUGAAUUCUCUGGAGGUAAGCGGAAUAUGUCAUGUAGCGGUGAAAUGCUUAGAUAUGACAUAGAACACCCAUUGCGAAGGCAGCUUACUACGGAGACAUUGACACUGAGGCUCGAAAGCGUGGGGAUCAAACAGGAUUAGAUACCCUGGUAGUCCACGCCCUAAACGAUGAUUACUCGACAUUAGCGAUAUUACUGUUAGUGUCUAAGCGAAAGCAUUAAGUAAUCCACCUGGGAAGUACGACCGCAAGGUUG